GCAGUUGUGGCCGAGUGGUUAAGGCGAUGAACUAGAAAUCUAUUGGGGUCUCCCCGCACAGGUUCAAAUCCUCUCAACUGCG
rnacentral:tRNA from 2 species